rnacentral:rRNA from 1 species
AUACGUAGGGAGCGAGCGUUGUCCGGAAUUACUGGGCGUAAAGGGCGCGUUGGUGGGUAUUUAAGUCAGAUGUGAAAACUCCGGGCUCAACCUGGAGACUGCAUUUGAAACUGGGCAUCUUGAGGGCAGGAGAGGAAAGUGGAAUUCCUAGUGUAGCGGUGAAAUGCGUAGAUAUUAGGAGGAACACCAGUGGCGAAGGCGACUUUCUGGACUGUACCUGACACUGAGGCGCGAAAGCGUGGGGAGCGAACGGGAUUAGAUACCCCGGUAGUCCACGCCGUAAACGAUGAAUACUAGGUGUAGGAGGUAUCGACCCCUUCUGUGCCGCAGCUAACGCAAUAAGUAUUCCGCCUGGGGAGUACGGCCGCAAGGUUGA